AUUCCCCAAAGGCGAGACGGGUAGCCGGCCUGAGAGGGCGACCGGCCACACUGGGACUGAGACACGGCCCAGACUCCUACGGGAGGCAGCAGUGGGGAAUAUUGCACAAUGGGCGAAAGCCUGAUGCAGCGACGCCGCGUGAGGGAUGACGGCCUUCGGGUUGUAAACCUCUUUCAGCAGGGAAGAAGCGAAAGUGACGGUACCUGCAGAAGAAGCGCCGGCUAACUACGUGCCAGCAGCCGCGGCCG
rnacentral:rRNA from 1 species